rnacentral:tRNA from 1 species
GCCUGGCUGGCUUGGUCGGUAGAGCAUGUGACUCUUGAUCUCAGGGUUGUGAGUUCGAGCCCCACGUUAGUGUA